UCUGCCCACCGACUGGGAAGGGGAUGGGAGACAGCUGAUCUACAGCAAUGAAAUGACGGAUUUUAAUCUUUCUUAUUAAUAAGGCAGAUGAGGAAAUACUUCUUUCAAGACCACUUCAUGACACCAUAUACGGGCAUCAUCUCCCUCACUCACUUCUGGGGCCAGCCACACCACGUGACACUGGCCGGCUACUGACAGCGCAGUUUGCAGGUGUGGCGGUCUGGGAUGCUUGUGGCUCAGUUUAACUCUUAGGUACCAGUUCUUCAAGUCCCAAAUCAGAGUUCAAUCACUACAUCAAGUUCAUCUAUUUCCAUUAACACUCAAGUGACACUAUUAAAAUAUAACCUUCAUGAAGAAAA